rnacentral:miRNA from 1 species
GAAUGGCGAGAAAACAAGACAGCCAAUUCAAGAUAAAUUGAUAAAAAUAUCAAGAUAUUUUUAUCAAUUUAUCUUGAAUUGGCUGUCUUGUUUUCUCGCCAUUCUAC